rnacentral:rRNA from 1 species
UACGGAGGGUGCAAGCGUUAAUCGGAAUUACUGGGCGUAAAGCGUGCGCAGGCGGUUGUGCAAGACAGAUGUGAAAUCCCCGGGCUCAACCUGGGAACUGCAUUUGUGACUGCACGGCUAGAGUGCGGCAGAGGGGGAUGGAAUUCCGCGUGUAGCAGUGAAAUGCGUAGAUAUGCGGAGGAACACCGAUGGCGAAGGCAAUCCCCUGGGCCUGCACUGACGCUCAUGCACGAAAGCGUGGGGAGCAAACAGG